AUUGCACGCUGGCGGCAGUCCUAACACAUGCAAGUCGAGCGGAUCUGCGGACGGGGGCGUAAUACCUAGGAAUCUGCCUGGUAGUGGGGGAUAACGUCCGGAAACGGGCACUACUAACGCCUACUAUCAGAUGCGCCUAGGUCGGAUUAGCUAGUUGGUGGGGUAAAGGCCUACCAAGGCAACGAUCCGUAUCUGGUCUGAGAGGAUGAUCAGUCACACUGGAACUGAUACACGGUCCAGACUCCUACGGGAGGCAGCAGGGGGGAAUAUUGGACCAUGGGCGAAAGCCUGAUCCAGCCAUGCCGCGUGUGUGAAGAAGGUCUUCGGAUUGUAAAGCACUUUAAGUUGGGAGGCGUUACCAACAGAAUAAGCACCGGCUAACUUCGUGCCAGCAGCCGCGGUAAUUC
rnacentral:rRNA from 1 species